UAGGGAAUCUUCCACAAUGGACGAAUGUCUGAUGGAGCAACGCCGCGUGAGUGAAGAAGGGUUUCGGCUCGUAAAACUCUGUUGUUAAAGAAGAACAUAUCUGAGAGUAACUGUUCAGGUAUUGACGGUAUUUAACCAGAAAGCCACGGCUAACUACGUGCCAG
rnacentral:rRNA from 1 species